UACGUAGGGGGCGAGCGUUGUCCGAAGUUACUGGGCGUAAAGCGCGCGUAGGCGGCUUCUUAAGUCUGAGGUGAAAGGUUCAACGCUUAACGUGAACAGUGCCUUGGAUACUGGGGAGCUUGAGUGUGGCAGAGGAUAGUGGAAUUCCUGGUGUAGCGGUGAAAUGCGUAGAUAUCAGGAGGAACACCCAUGGCGAAGGCAGCUAUCUGGGCUAACACUGACGCUGAGGUGCGAAAGCGUGGGGAGCAAACGGG
rnacentral:rRNA from 1 species